ACAGUGUGAUGACUCACCAGCCUUACUUCCUGCUGUGGAGUGCUUUCUCCUGCUCAGCAAGGCUCAGUGCUGAAUUUCCUGUGACAUUUGCAUAAUUCUGAGUCUCUUCUGGACUGUGAAGGAGACCUUCUAGAAAGUUGUGUCUGCUGAGACUGAUUGACUGAUUAGAAUUUCAGUGCUAUGGAGAGAUUUGAAUGUUACAGGUCCAGAGGCUAAUUACCUUAUCUUCGGUUAACUUUACCUGCACACCUCAACAGCUAUUCCUUGUGUGCCUCUGUGUCAGAACCAGCAUCCUGUGACUAAUAGAUAAAAGCCUUUGGAAACUAUUAAUUUAACAGACCUUCUACCAAGCCCAAAGAUAACAGUGUUAACAGAUAACAUCUUUGGUCUAUAAAAUAAGUUUCCUCAACCUUGCUGUAACCACCUCUCAGAUAUGCCCACCAAUGUAUUUUAAGCCUGUCCUGAUUUAUGACUUUCAACUUUCUGUAAAACUAUAAAACUUCAUGUAACUGCUUCUAGUUCAAACAUGGACUUUGAGGUAUCUUAAUCUGUGUUUCUGGUCAUUCAGAAUGGAUCCAGAAUGAACUAGCUUUUAUUCUUCUUAAGAAGGAAAAUUGUUUUUUGAGUUGACACAAUCAAAGCCAAAUUUUUAAAUAAAUUAAAAAUUAUUUUUAAAUGUAAGAAUUGAUUAUUGAUAUUAGCUCCCCCAGUUAAGCAAAAGCUAUUGACAUAGUAUGUUAACAAGUAUGCAUGUCUGUCCUCUGACUUGUGAAGGAAUUCAAAUAUGUUUUGGUGAAGUUUAGUAAUAGUGGGGGACUAUGGCUAUCAUAGUAUGGGGCCUCCUCAAUAACAAGACAGAAACUAAGAAACUUCUAUCUCUUUAAAAUAGAAUGGACCAUUUUGCCUCCAGAGGAUGUAAAUUGAACAUGUCUUUGUGUUUUCACUUAGAAUUUUAUUUCUGUUCUCACACCCCACCCUCCUUUACAUGAAUAUUAAGGUCCAAGGCUUUAGCAACAGGCAUUUGGUCCUGGGGGAAGAAAGGGUAAAGGGAAGAGUGUUGUGUAUGGCUUUUCAUAUGUUAAUGGUUGAUUCCAUGGCAACCAUUGAAAAAAAGAAGGGCUAGGGACAAAAGGGGCUGCAGGAGAGAGGAUGGGGCUCUUUCAGGGGCUAGUAAGAAUAACAGCCCAGACCCUCUCCUCUGAAAGAUAUCUGAUGGCCAGACCUCAAAGGACUUUGUCUUAAUAGUGCAGAGUCAGUAUGUAAUUAAUGCAGAGUUUUAUGAGUCCAAAUUUCACCCUCAAUGAUGUUUCCCCUUUAAAACGUGGAGAAUAAGAAUCUGAAACCAAGAGGAUGUUUCAAAUCACUGCUCCCAUUGGGACCCACAACGGAGUCUAUCCAGAGGACACACUAGACUAUCGGCUCUAAGCAUCAGACAUUUCAGUUUUGAGUUAAAAGGUCAAGGGCUUUUAUCUUUGAGUACAAGAAAGCUUUUAAAGCUGGCUGACUAAGAGCAAGCACAGUGGGAAUGGCUGUGCUCUCUCUCACAUGCAUCCUUUGAACACUGUCGUCCCUGAUGACAUGUUGAAAUGGUACAGGACACAGACAAGAGCAGGUCACAGGACACAGAGGACACUGGUGACAUUCCAUUCCUUGGCUUCCUUGACCAAUGAAAAGAAUUCCUGGCUGCCUAUAUAUCCUCCCAGAAACAUGGUGACAUCCUCACAUCAGAUUCCCUAGUGCGCUAAAUCUUCAUGUGAACUUCAGUGGUUAUACAUAUGAAAUAGCUGUUGUAUCUUGCCAGCACAACACACUCUUUCUAGCCCUUUCUCAAGUACUGCAAAGCAUUACAUUCAGUAACAAUGCCAACUUUACCAACUUUCUAUCCAGCCUUGUUUUCUUGCAUGUGUAUUCCUCAGUCUUUGAUUGAAUUAUAUUGAAUUCCUCUCUCUCUCUCUCUUUUUGUCUCCUUUAAAUAGUUGCCAGAGACCAGCCACCAGUAGCUGCGAUACAGUGUUUUCUCUGUUUCGAUAGACACAAGGGCUUUUUAUCACAAUGGAAUGCUUAUGGAAUUGCAUGUUUCAAAAGACACUAAACAUGAAAAUACAACUUCAUUCAAAGUCAGGUUACAAUUAUGAAUAGCAAGGCUACAAUGAAGAGAGAGAGAAAGAAGUGCUGGUCUGUCUUUCUUUCAGUGGUUAUAAAAUGUAAUUCAUUUUUUUCCCUCAUAAGCCUUAUGAACCUUACUCCCGCUUUUAUGUUAUUCAAAACUCUGAUGGGGUGGAAAGCACAGAGUUAUUGUAGCUACCAGGAAUCCCAAUAUGAGGUCUGACAAUAUUGUUACCAACAUUAUAUUAUAAAGAGACAGUUUCUUCAAAAUGAUCUUAUUUUUGAAUGCCUGUUUGCUUGAUGUUUGCUGAGUAAUAUGUGACAUCUGAUAUUUUGGCAACAACACUGAAUAAUUAAUCUAUUCAUCAAAAUUUUUAAAAGUGUUUUUAUAGACUAGGACUUGGUCAUAUUUGAUCAGUACAUGCUAUGACUGGUUGUCAUGGAAAUGUAGCCUAGUAUAUAUGGAUAAUUGUGUAAAUAAAGAAUCAUCCC
ensembl:lincRNA Gm26535 predicted gene, 26535